AUGUCUUCUGCAACAGAGCUUAGGGAUGCGGCAGGCAUUAACAAGUGGUGGACGGAAACCCUGAAGAGGCAAACAUGGACAGUCCAGACAAAUGUGACUCAUAAGAGCAUGAGAAGAGUCCCGGUGGCCUCUGACCAAAGGUCUAUCCAGUCCGACCUUCAGUUUCCAGAAGAGGCUUGCUCAGGACUGAAUGAGGUGCUACUCACGGCUUGUUAUAAAAUGAAGCAAUUCUUCAAGUGUUGAAAACUUAAGCAUAAAAAUUAUGUGAGCAUAAUUCUGCAAGUAUCUUUUUCCCUGAUCACCCAGUAAUUUGCAAUUCAGCUUGCUUAGGUUUUAUGUUAGAUCCCAGGAGAUAAAUGCUGGCUUUGUUUGCAUUCUGUUUGUUCACACACCAAGCUGGGAGAUAUCUAUGUGGUAAAAAUACUGUCGUGUUUUCUUCUACUAAUGAUGGGCUAAUUAUAGCAUCCGAUUUGAUCGCCGUCCCCCCAUGCUUUUGGGACACUUAUGAAUAGGAUGUGACAACAGCUCUUUCUCAACUGAUUUCUGUUCCUCAGCAGCUCCUAUUCAGAGGAUGGUUGAAGAGGCAGCCUUCAAUUUACAUGCAUGCAUAGCUUGGACACAUUACUGUAUAUUUUUUUUAACUUUCAGAAUCCCCACACUAAGCAGGCCACAAUAUAGAAAUGGGGGCUCCCUCCCCAAUUUCCUAUAUGUCCUGAUGCUAUAUUGAGAACCUAGACAGGAAGAGCUAGGCUCACACAUCUGGGUCACAGGCUCCUAUAUCCUUAAUUAAAAUUAUAUUUAAAUUAUCUUGAAUUAUAUUGUCUUAUUCUGAACUAGCUAGAUCCUAGUGAUUUGCUUUUAAGACAUGUGGUAGAAACUUCUGCAGGCCUUUUCUUUUCAUCCUCUUGAAGAAGCCCUUUGAAUCCCAGAACACUUUAUAAAGUGAGUUUUAUAAAGACAAUCAAUAUCAUUCCUCAAUACUGUGAGAUAUGUAUUUUCUGUACAUGGGUUCCAGUUGGCUGCUCUCCAGUUCUUAUCAUUUCCUUACUCUGAGUUCACUAGCCAAAAUAAGCCACAAAACAGCAGCACCACAAGCUUGGGGACAAGAUGCUUAGUGGAGUUUUUAAAGGCUGAUAAAGAACAAAUAGGGAAAGAACUGGAGUUAGUAACAGAAAACAUGUAAUUGGUACCUCCCAUUGGAUCCCAUGGCCAACAUGAUCAUUUUAUACUUAAAGCCAUUUUC
rnacentral:lncRNA from 1 species